GAGGCUAUAGCUGAGUGGUAGAGUGCUUGCUUAGCACUCACGAGGUCCUGGGUUCAAUCCCCAGUACCUCA
rnacentral:tRNA from 1 species